rnacentral:lncRNA from 1 species
AUGGGGAACCGAGACUCGGCGCCGGCAGGAUGCGAAGCUGGACCCAGAGCAGCGACCGAAGCGGCACCACGCGGGCACCGCUGGGCUCCUUCCUCCUCCCGUGCCGCAUGGAGCGGGGUUUGGCACGUGGUGAUGGUGACAGCGGUGGCAUCGGGCGCCCCGCUGGCCAUGGGACCAGGAGCACGUCAAGGUGGGGGCGUCUCCGAAGGGUCAGGGUUGGUAGAGAUGCAUAAAGACCACGCAGCCCCACAGCAGGAACCUCUUCCACCAGGUCACGGUGCCCAAAGCCCCCUCCCUGAGCAUUUCCACAGCUGGGGCACCCCCAGCUCCUGUGGCAGCACUGAAGGGUCCUUGGCACGCUCCUGGGGCGCUGUGGGGAGCAGACACAGCCCCCCCAUUGCAAACCCCAAGGGGCAGCUGUGCCCUGAUCCCCCGGGCUGCCGCUCACCCUCGCCCUGCCCCGCUUGUGGUGCUGCGGGGGAACCGAAAGUUGUUGGAGGAGCACCGUGCCCCGCUGCUGCAGGGCUCAGGAGAACUGCUCCCGCAAAUGGGGAAUCGAGACUGCUGCUGCCAGCAGGGCACGCGGCCAGGGGUCCCCACCGGCCACCCCUCGGCUCUGCCCUCACCUCCCACGGCUGCCCCUGUGCCUGCGUGGCACUGCUGGCCGUGCCGAGCCCCGCGGCACUGGGGUGCCCGGGGCAGGACCCGUGGCGUGGCCAAGUGAUGGGUGGGGCACGAGCACAGCCAGAGCGGGGUUUUGCCCAGGCUGGGGGCACGGGCAGGGCUGCUCAGCCCCACAGUACAGGGAAGAACCUCGCUCCCCUCGGGUCGCUGCUGACGGCAGCGUUUCGUGGGUUCGCUCUGCGCGCUCCCCUCCCAGGCCCCCGUCCAAGUUUCCCUUCUGGGUCCUGCCCUUAUCGGAGCUUAAACUCCAUCACCCCGACACCGCCACCCGCUUUGGGGUUACAGCCAGCUCCAGACCUGCCCCAGCCCUGCUCCGGCCCCAUGCAGGCAGAUCUUGGCUGCCAGCUACGAUGCUGGGGUUUGAGCUCUGCUUUUGGCAGCCGCUGUCCUGCACCACAAGGAGCCCCAGAGCCCCCGCUCCCCCCUGGAGCUCGGCCCCCAAGCCCCAGCUGCAGGAGCCGGGCACCCACGGGCCAUCAUUCCCCCCUUGCAGGGGGACAAAGUGCAGCUCCUUGGAGACAGCCAGCCCCACAAAGCACAAAGUGGGUUUGGUUUUCACCUUUUUUGGGAAGGCUUUGGGUUUUUCUGUGGGCACAGAGCAGCGGACGCCCCUGCCCCUUUCUGCUGUCCACCAGACAGCUUCCUGAGCAUCGCCUGGGGAAAAAUCCCUUCCCGACAGGCCUGAGCUCCCACCAGCUCAGCGCACCCACGCCCAGGACAAAGGGCUGA